rnacentral:rRNA from 1 species
UGGGGAAUAUUGGACAAUGGGCGAAAGCCUGAUCCAGCCAUGCCGCGUGUGUGAAGAAGGUCUUCGGAUUGUAAAGCACCUUAAGUUGGGAGGAAGGGCAGUAAGCGAAUACCUUGCUGUUUUGACGUUACCGACAGAAUAAGCACCGGCUAACUCUGUGCCAGCAGCCGCGGUAAUACAGAGGGUGCAAGCGUUAAUCGGAAUUACUGGGCGUAAAGCGCGCGUAGGUGGUUCGUUUAGUUGGAUGUGAAAGCCCCGGGCUCAACCUGGGAACUGCAUCAAAAAAUGGCGAGCUAGAGAGGGCAGAGGGUGGUAGAAUUUCCUGUGUAGGGGAGAAAUGCGUAGGUAUAGGAAGGAACACCAGUGGCGAAGGCGACCACCUGGGCUCAUACUGACACUGAGGUGCGAAAGCGUGGGGAGCAAACAGG